rnacentral:lncRNA from 1 species
AUUGUGGCUACGAACUUUUGCUUAAAAGUGGGAAUAUAUCGGUAUUUUGUAUAUAGAGUAAUACUUCAUCCAGAGUUCAAAUCUCCAUUUUUGUCAAGAAAGGCUAUAGAGUAAUGAGUCUAAUGACUGAAAGAGAGGAUAUACUGCAUAUUAUAUUAUUAUCUUUGGCAAAAGUAAAUGCAUAACAAAGAAAUAUUAUACUUGCGAAUUGGGAUCAACUAUGUUUUUUUUUUGGUGUAAAGCGAUCUAAUAUGUUUUAAAGGCCUUAAUAAAAUUAUUUAAAUUCCUUUAGUUUUAAAAUCUUUAAUCCAACCAGCUUUUGUAGUUAAUUUUUUUUUUAUCUUAUUGUAUAUACAUGGGGGUAUUGGGGGCGUCUAAUAUAAAGAGGAAACAAAUACCAGUA